GGGGGCGACAGGCCUCGACGGGAGUUAUGAGGUCUGAGUUGCAUGUCGUGGCUCUGCCACCACGUAAAAAGGCAGAAAAAACACAAAAGCCAACACAGAACUGGCACUUGCUGCUUAAUUAAGCGGCACGCUUCCCUGAGAAGGCCCGCGGCUCGGAAGAAGCGUCGAUAAGCGGGCUGGUCCGGAGAUUUUCUCCUUGCCCUCCGGAUAAGACUUUAAAGGAGUAGGAAUCGGGGAAGCCCUCUUACCGGCGGUCCCGAUCCCGAAUUUCAGUAAGUAAGAUAAACAUGUAGACGCUCGGAAGUAGUGCUUCCGGACCCGGGUUCGAUUCCCGGCGCCUCCACCA
rnacentral:tmRNA from 1 species